rnacentral:rRNA from 1 species
GAUGAACGCUGGCGGCGUGCCUAAUACAUGCAAGUCUAGCGAACAGACGAGGAGCUUGCUCCUCUGACGUUAGCGGCGGACGGGUGAGUAACACGUGGAUAACCUACCUAUAAGACUGGGAUAACUUCGGGAAACCGGAGCUAAUACCGGAUAAUAUAUUCAACCGCAUGGUUCGAUAGUGAAAGACGGUUUUGCUGUUGAUUAUAGAUGGAUUCGGGUAGCAGUAGCUAGUUGGUAAGGUAACGGCUUACCAAGGCGACGAUACGUAGCCGGCCUGAGAGGGUGGACGGCCACAAGGGGACUGGGAGACGGCCGUUACGCAUACGGGAGGCAGGGGUGGAGAAUAGUGGAAGAAGGGGGCGACGGUGAUGAAGGAAUUCUGUGUGCAAGAUCACGGUUUUAGGAGAGUAAAAAGCUUUAAGAAAAGAAGAAAAGAAUGACGGUACCUGCAGAAGAAGCGACGGCUAAAUACGUG